rnacentral:rRNA from 1 species
UGCAUAUCAAUAAGCGGAGGAAAAGAAACUAACAAGGAUUCCCCUAGUAACGGCGAGUGAAGCGGGAAAAGCUCAAAUUUGUAAUCUGGCGCCUUUGGCGUCCGAGUUGUAAUCUCGAGAAGUAUUUUCCGCGCUGGACCGCACAUAAGUCUGUUGGAAUACAGCGUCAUAGUGGUGAGAACCCCGUAUAUGGUGCGGAUGCCCAGUGCUUUGUGAUAUACUUUCGAAGAGUCGAGUUGUUUGGGAAUGCAGCUCAAAUUGGGUGGUAAAUUCCAUCUAAAGCUAAAUAUUGGCGAGAGACCGAUAGCGAACAAGUACCGUGAGGGAAAGAUGAAAAGCACUUUGGAAAGAGAGUUAACAGUACGUGAAAUUGUUGGAAGGGAAACGCUUGAAGUCAGACUUGCAUUUUGGAGUUCAGCCGCAAGGUGUAUUCUCCAAUUCGCAGGCCAGCAUCAGUUUUCGGGGGUGGAAAAUCGCGGUUUGAAGGUAGCAGUCUCGGCUGUGUUAUAGCUUUCCGCUGGAUUCACUUUUGGGGACUGAGGAACGCAGUACGCUUUUUGCAAGAUUCUAGAGUCUUUCGUACUUAGGAUGCUGGUGGAAUGGCUUUAAACGACCCGUCUUGAAACACGGACCA